CACGUAGGGGGCAAGCGUUGUCCGGAAUUAUUGGGCGUAAAGAGCUCGUAGGCGGCUCAGUAAGUCGGGUGUGAAAUUCCAGGGCUCAACCCUGGAUCGCCACUCGAUACUGCUGUGGCUAGAGUCCGGUAGGGGAGCGUGGAAUUCCCAGUGUAGCGGUGAAAUGCGCAGAUAUUGGGAGGAACACCAGCGGCGAAGGCGGCGCUCUGGGCCGGUACUGACGCUGAGGAGCGAAAGCGUGGGGAGCAAACAGG
rnacentral:rRNA from 1 species